rnacentral:rRNA from 1 species
GUCGAGCGAACUGAUUAGAAGCUUGCUUCUAUGACGUUAGCGGCGGACGGGUGAGUAACACGUGGGCAACCUGCCUGUAAGACUGGGAUAACUUCGGGAAACCGAAGCUAAUACCGGAUAGGAUCUUCUCCUUCAUGGGAGAUGAUUGAAAGAUGGUUUCGGCUAUCACUUACAGAUGGGCCCGCGGUGCAUUAGCUAGUUGGUGAGGUAACGGCUCACCAAGGCAACGAUGCAUAGCCGACCUGAGAGGGUGAUCGGCCACACUGGGACUGAGACACGGCCCAGACUCCUACGGGAGGCAGCAGUAGGGAAUCUUCCGCAAUGGACGAAAGUCUGACGGAGCAACGCCGCGUGAGUGAUGAAGGCUUUCGGGUCGUAAAACUCUGUUGUUAGGGAAGAACAAGUACGAGAGUAACUGCUCGUACCUUGACGGUACCUAACCAGAAAGCCACGGCUAACUACGUGCCAGCAGCCGCGGUAAUACGUAGGUGGCAAGCGUUAUCCGGAAUUAUUGGGCGUAAAGCGCGCGCAGGCGGUUUCUUAAGUCUGAUGUGAAAGCCCACGGCUCAACCGUGGAGGGUCAUUGGAAACUGGGGAACUUGAGUGCAGAAGAGAAAAGCGGAAUUCCACGUGUAGCGGUGAAAUGCGUAGAGAUGUGGAGGAACACCAGUGGCGAAGGCGGCUUUUUGGUCUGUAACUGACGCUGAGGCGCGAAAG